rnacentral:rRNA from 1 species
UGGCUUCCGGAGCUAACGCGUUAAAUCGACCGCCUGGGGAGUACGGCCGCAAGGUUAAAACUCAAAUGAAUUGACGGGGGCCCGCACAAGCGGUGGAGCAUGUGGUUUAAUUCGAUGCAACGCGAAGAACCUUACCUGGUCUUGACAUCCACAGAACUUGGCAGAGAUGCCUUGGUGCCUUCGGGAACUGUGAGACAGGUGCUGCAUGGCUGUCGUCAGCUCGUGUUGUGAAAUGUUGGGUUAAGUCCCGCAACGAGCGCAACCCUUAUCCUUUGUUGCCAGCGGUCCGGCCGGGAACUCAAAGGAGACUGCCAGUGAUAAACUGGAGGAAGGUGGGGAUGACGUCAAGUCAUCAUGGCCCUUACGACCAGGGCUACACACGUGCUACAAUGGCGCAUACAAAGAGAAGCGACCUCGCGAGAGCAAGCGGACCUCAUAAAGUGCGUCGUAGUCCGGAUUGGAGUCUGCAACUCGACUCCAUGAAGUCGGAAUCGCUAGUAAUCGUGGAUCAGAAUGCCACGGUGAAUACGUUCCCGGGCCUUGUACACACCGCCCGUCACACCAUGGGAGUGGGUUGCAAAAGAAGUAGGUAGCUUAACCUUCGGGAGGGCGCUUACCACUUUGUGAUUCAUGACUGGGGUGAAGUCGUAAC